rnacentral:rRNA from 1 species
UACAGAGGGUGCGAGCGUUAAUCGGAAUUACUGGGCGUAAAGCGCGCGUAGGCGGCUUUGCAAGUCGAGUGUGAAAUCCCCAGGCUUAACCUGGGAGCUGCAUUCGAGACUGCAUAGCUAGAGUAUGGGAGAGGGAAGUGGAAUUUCAGGUGUAGCGGUGAAAUGCGUAGAUAUCUGAAGGAACAUCAGUGGCGAAAGCGACUUCCUGGACCAAUACUGACGCUCAUGUGCGAAAGCGUGGGGAGCAAACAGG